rnacentral:rRNA from 1 species
GGAUUAGAUACCCUGGUAGUCCACGCCGUAAACGAUGCAUGCUCGCUGUCGGGCCCGCUACAGGGUUCGGUGGCUUAGCUAACGCGGUAAGCAUGCCGCCUGGGGAGUACGGCCGCAAGGUUAAAACUCAAAGGAAUUGACGGGGACCCGCACAAGUGGUGGAGCAUGUCCUUUAAUUCGAAGAUACGCGAAGAACCUUACCUAGCCUUGACAUCCUGGUAGAUCUGCCCCGAAACGGGCGGAGCAUUUAGUUGGACCAGAGACAGGUGUUGCAUGGCUGUCGUCAGCUCGUGCCG